CUUUCAACACGUUGUAAAAUUGAAAUUUACUGGUGAUUUUAUACUCUGAAUGCACUGUAAAUCUCUGGAAUAAUAGAAUGAAGGAAAAAUAUUUUCUAGGGCCAAAGAACUUAAAAAGGUUUUUCCAGAAGCAAGCCAAAUGCAUGCUUAUAUUUGAUUUACAGACAGAUAAGGAAAACUGUCAA